ensembl:lncRNA
CUCUACUCCAUCUCUCUCGCUCUCUCUCGCUCUCUCUCUCUCUCGCUCUCUCUCUCUCUCUCUCUCUCGCUCUCUCUCGCUUUCUCGCGCUCUCUCUCGCUCUCUCACUCAUCCUCGGUUUCUCUUUCUCUCUCACGCGCGCUUUCUCUCUCUCUUCCUCCGUCUUUCUGUCUUCUCUCGGUCUUUGGAUAUGAUUUAAAAACGCCCACAGUGGGGUGAAGUUGGAGGAUCAGUCGGCGGCAGAUGAGCGCCAAGGAGUGGAUAGAUCUGAUCACACUAUGGAAAGUGAUUGAUUGGACAGUGAUUGAUUGGGCAGUGAUUGAUUGAGGACAUAGCAUCAUGAACAUAGAAGACGGCUUGAUCGGAGUUUGCCAUAUAUUGAAAAAUUCACCGUCAGUGGAGAUCGGCGGGACAACAGACCAGCGGCUUGGAGGUUAAUGUGCAUGCAGCUUUGUACAACAGGAGUCAGAACGGCCUCUUAACAUUCUGGAAAACCAAACUCUAUCCCAUCGGCCCGGUAUCCACAGCCUCCAACAUCAGCCUCUGACGUCAGCUUCUAUCAGCCUCUAAACCAUCCCAUUGGUUGUGUAGCCACAGCCUCUAACGUCAGCCUCUAAACCAUCCCAUUGGUUGUGUAGCCACAGCCUCUAACGUCAGCCUCUAAACCAUCCCAUUGGUUGUGCAGCCACAGCCUCUAACGUCAGCCUCUAAACCAUCCUAUUGGUUGUGUAGCCACAGCCUCUAACAUCAUACUCUAAACCAUCAUAUUGGUUGUGUAGCCACAGCCUCUAACAUCAGCCUCUAAACCAUCCCAUUGGUUGUGUAGCCACAGCCUCUAACGUCAGCCUCUAAACCAUCCCAUUGGUUGUGUAGCCACAGCCUCUAACGUCAGCCUCUAAACCAUCCCAUUGGUUGUGUAGCCACAUCCUCUGACGUCAGCCUCUAAACCAUCCCAUUGGUUGUGUAGCCACAGCCUCUAACGUCAGCCUCUAAACCAUCCCAUUGGUUGUGUAGCCACAGCCUCUAA